UUGUGACAAGUCCUUAUUGACUUUCUUUACUGUGAUAACUGGGAUGCUUUUGACUACUGGGGUAAAGGCACAAUGGUAACGGUGACAUCAGCCACUUCAUCCAAACCAACCGUGUUUCCUCUGAUGCAAUGCGGGUCUGAGACUGCAAACACCGUCACUCUUGGCUGCCUUGCCACUGGCUUCUCGCCCUCCUCGGUGACCUACGCGUGGAGCAAAGCUGGAACUGCCUUGACGGACUUCAUCCAGUAUCCUCCAGUAGAGAAGAGUGGUGUUUAUACAGGAAUCAGUCAAAUCAAAGUGAACAAAGAGGACUUGGAUGCAAAGCAGCCUUUAAAUGCAUCGCAUCAAACACAGCAGGAGACGGAGAGGGGAUUUUCAUCGUGACACUGCCGAUUUAUAAGGAGCCAACUCUUAAAGUGUUUUCCUCAUGUGAUGGGGGAGAGGAGGUUUCCUUCUCAUGCUUUGCCAAAGAUUUUGCACCAAA